rnacentral:rRNA from 1 species
GAUGAACGCUGGCGGCGUGCCUAAUACAUGCAAGUCGAGCGAACGGACGAGAAGCUUGCUUUUCUGAUGUUAGCGGCGGACGGGUGAGUAACACGUGGACAACCUACCUAUAAGACUGGGAUAACUUCGGGAAACCGGAGCUAAUACCGGAUAAUAUUUUGAACCGCAUGGUUCAAAAGUGAAAGACGGUCUUGCUGUCACUUAUAGAUGGAUCCGCGCUGCAUUAGCUAGUUGGUAAGGUAACGGCUUACCAAGGCAACGAUGCAUAGCCGACCUGAGAGGGUGAUCGGCCACACUGGAACUGAGACACGGUCCAGACUCCUACGGGAGGCAGCAGUAGGGAAUCUUCCGCAAUGGGCGAAAGCCUGACGGAGCAACGCCGCGUGAGUGAUGAAGGUCUUCGGAUCGUAAAACUCUGUCAUUAGGGAAGAACAAAUGUGUAAGUAACUGUGCACAUCUUGACGGUACCUAAUCAGAAAGCCACGGCUAACUACGUG